AUUGAACGCUGGCGGCAUGCUUUACACAUGCAAGUCGAACGGUAACAGGCCUUCGGGCGCUGACGAGUGGCGAACGGGUGAGUAAUGCAUCGGAACGUGCCCAGUCGUGGGGGAUAACGCAGCGAAAGCUGUGCUAAUACCGCAUACGAUCUAUGGAUGAAAGCGGGGGACCGUAAGGCCUCGCGCGAUUGGAGCGGCCGAUGUCAGAUUAGGUAGUUGGUGGGGGAAAGGCGCACCAAGCCAACGAUCUGUAGCUGGUCUGAGAGGACGACCAGCCACACGCGAACUGAGACACGGUCCAGACUCCUACGGGAGGCAGCAGUGGGGAAUUUUGGACAAUGGGCGCAAGCCUGAUCCAGCAAUGCCGCGUGCAGGAAGAAGGCCUUCGGGUUGUAAACUGCUUUUGUACGGAACGAAACGGCGAGCUCUAAUACAGUUUGCUAAUGACGGUACCGUAAGAAUAAGCACCGGCUAACUACGUGCCAGCAGCCGCAGUAAUAC
rnacentral:rRNA from 1 species